rnacentral:rRNA from 1 species
AACAAACGCUGGCGGCGUGUCUUAAGCAUGCAAGUUGAGCGGCAAGGAGGAGAGAUCCUCCCUAGAGCGGCGGACUGGUGAGUAACGCGUGGGUAAUCUAUCGUAGGCAUGGGGAUAGUCACUAGAAAUAGUGGGUAAUACCGAAUACGUUCCAUGAGGGGAGUACUUAUGGAAGAAAGGGUGCUACGGCACUGGCCUUAGGUGAGCUCGCGUCCCAUUAGCUAGUUGGUGAGGUAAAGGCCCACCAAGGCGAUGAUGGGUAGCCGGCCUGAGAGGGUGUACGGCCACACUGGGACUGAGAUACGGCCCAGACUCCUACGGGAGGCAGCAGUAGGGAAUUUUGCGCAAUGGACGGAAGUCUGACGCAGCAACGCCGCGUGAAGGAUGACGGCCUUCGGGUUGUAAACUUCUGUUGGAUGGGAAAAAAAGCCUUUUAGAAGGAAUUGAUGGUACCAUUCGAGUAAGCACCGGCUAACUACGUG